rnacentral:rRNA from 1 species
UACACUCCUACGGGAGGCAGCAGUGGGGAAUAUUGGACAAUGGGCGCAAGCCUGAUCCAGCCAUGCCGCGUGAGUGAUGAAGGCCCUAGGGUUGUAAAGCUCUUUCACCGGAGAAGAUAAUGACGGUAUCCGGAGAAGAAGCCCCGGCUAACUUCGUGCCAGCAGCCGCGGUAAUACGAAGGGGGCUAGCGUUGUUCGGAAUUACUGGGCGUAAAGCGCACGUAGGCGGAUCGAUCAGUCAGGGGUGAAAUCCCAGGGCUCAACCCUGGAACUGCCUUUGAUACUGUCGAUCUGGAGUAUGGAAGAGGUGAGUUGAAUUCCGAGUGUAGAGGUGAAAUUCGUAGAUAUUCGGAGGAACACCAGUGGCGAAGGCGGCUCACUGGUCCAUUACUGACGCUGAGGUGCGAAAGCGUGGGGAGCAAACAGGAUUAGAAACCCGUGUAGUCCCAUG